AUGCUGGAGAGAGAUGGCGUCUGUUAUCGUGCUCAGUUGUUAAGAGAGAGGAAGAAGGCAAAAAUAACGCUGAUGCUGUGGGUGAGUUGGGAGUCCAUAGCACAUAUGCUGUUUUCUAAAGCUUGGCUCACAUCAUGUAAAAUGCAUCUUGGUUCCUGACCCUGGUUGACUAGCAUGAAGCAGGUAAGUUUCACCAUUCUCUUCACAUAGUUGAGAUCUGAUAGGAUAGCUUCAAAUAACUCACAUUUUCUGUAUAUAUGUACUUUGCAGCAAACUGACUUGGUAUCUUAUGUUUGUGGUAAUGGUGGGUUAUAAACUUAAAGCCUCCCUUUCCUAUGUUUAAUGACAAGAUUUUGUGUUUUAAUCUCCAGGGUAGUUCAACACUGAAUUCUACCAGAUACAUGAAUUUCUCUAAAAAUGUCAGGAAUCCUACCUGGUUAGGUUGCAGGGGUUUCCUCAGAGUCCUCAGGGAGGACUUCCUGUAAGACAUUAUCACUGUCAUUGAUUAGACCCUGGUGGAUUCUCUUUGACCUUGUCAGUACUCUUGUUUCAACCCCUCAAAGUAUGAAGAAAUCAUAGUGCUUCCAUCUUCUCUAGUGGUCUUAGUCUGUUUAGCUGUUGUAACAAAAUACAGGACACUGGGUGGCUUAUAAACAACAAACAUUUACUUCUUACAGUUCUGGAGUUUGGGAAGUCCAGGGUCCUAGCACAGGCAGAUGUGUCUAGUGAGAGUCUGUUGUCUCCCUUUCAUUAUGGGAGUGACAAGGAAUCUAUCUAGGGUCACUGUUAUUAGUGUACUUAUCCCAAUUGUGAGGGUCCUGCUCUCAUGACUUAAUCACCUUCCUAAGUCCCAAUUCCUUACACCAUUUCCUUGGGGUUAGGAUUUCAACAUAUGGAUUUUAAGGGGCCACAAAUGUUCAAACCAUAGCAAUGGUCAUUAGCUUAAUAAUGCUGACCUUUGUAUCAGUUUCAGGAUUUGAGGGUACUGCAUGUCAUUCUAGAAUUUAGUGCUCUGUGAUAGGCACUUAGCUGUAAUUACAUAAGUUUCCUUUAAAAAAUUUCUUUAAAGUGUAGUUGAUUUACAUUUUGCCAAUUUCUGCUGUAUGUCAAAGUGACUCAGUCCUGCAUAUAUAUAUAUAUAUAUAUAUAUAUAUAUAUA
rnacentral:lncRNA from 1 species